rnacentral:lncRNA from 1 species
CUUUUCAGGCUAGGCUCGGACCAUGACAGCUGUCCAGGUGCAAAAGAUUGUCCUGCUAGUUACGGAUUUCUGAUGACAAAUUUACCUAUGGAAACGCAUAAUAAAUCAAAGCUAUCAGACUGCAGUCAAAAGCAAAUACGUUCUUUAGUCAGGCGACUGAAUCAGUCGUGUGUAAGCGUCAAUACAAGAGCCAACUACACAAAUGACGUAUAUCCAGGAGAAAACAUGACUUACGAAGCAUUUUGCAAAUUGACGCAUCCAGAAAUACAAGACUUGUAUGUCUCAAAAGAGAAUCUGACAGAUUGUCUUAUAAAGUGCUGCGACAAUAGUACAGAGAGUGCGGACAGUCAAGAAAGUUUGGAGAGUUCACCGCUUGAAAUUACUUCAGAUGAUUCAAGGACAACUGAAGGAAUUUACGAAUAUUAUCCCUAUGAAUAUUUAUUUGGCGAAUAUGAAAGCCUGCUAGACGGAAUGGCAUGCGGCGAUAACAUGACAUGCUACAGAGGCAUUUGCGGCAUUCACAAUUGGAGUGAGAUAAGGCGGAAUUAUCGCACUCUCCGCACGUUUGAGAAAAUGCCAUAUGUGCGGCCUUA